CAGCCGCCGCGGUAAUACCGGCGGCCCGAGUGGCGGUCACUAUUAUUGGGCUUAAAGCGUCCGUAGCCGGGUUGGGAAGUCCUCCGGGGAAUCUGGCCGCUUAAAGGUCAGAAUGCCGGAGGAUACUCCCAGCCUAGGGAGCGGGGGAGGCCGAGGGUAUUCCCGGAGUAGGGGUGAAAUCCUAUAAUCCCGGGGGGACCACCUGUGGCGAAGGCGCUCGGCUGGAACGCGUCCGACGGUGAGGGACGAAGGCCAGGGGAGCAAACCGGAUUAGAUACCCGGGUAGUCCUGGCUGUAAACGAUGCGGACUUUGUGUCGGACAAGCUAUGAGCUUGUCCGGUGCCGGAGGGAAACCGUUAAGUCCGCCGCCUGGGGAGUACGGCCGCAAGGCUGAAACUUAAAGGAAUUGGCGGG
rnacentral:rRNA from 1 species